rnacentral:lncRNA from 1 species
UUGCCUUCUCUCUCACCCUACUCUAAUAAGGUUUUGAUAUCUGGAGCUCAUAGGUGGGAGACAGCUAAUACAUACUUACAAGACAGUUAUUGCAUAGUCAAACCAUGGAUCCAGAUAAACAAGUCAAUAAGUCAAAUCAAGAUGUGCAUGUGUGGCGAGUGAAAGGUGUAUGGUGAUGAUGGUGAUAACAAUGGUGAAAGUCUAAUUCUACUUUUGCUCUUUUUAGGGGAUACAUACCUUUCUUGCACUUUGAAGCUUUUUGAGGAGAAUGAGAUGCUCUACAUUUUCUUUUUCUUUCCUCUCAGGUGGGUAUCUUGUACCCCUAAUUCUACUAUCGGACACUUGUCCAUUUUUACCUCUCGUCUCACUUUUUCUUUUCUUUCGAGGUUCCGGGCACUUGCCCCUUUUUAUUUCCUCGUAUCCCCUUUUU